UACUGUCACGGUCUGGGUUUUUUUCACACACUAAUUGGUGUAGAGUCUCAUCUCUCCUCUGCAGGUGGGCGUGCCUGGAAGUUGGGAGGCUGCAGGUAAUCUGCUGAUUAGCUGGCCAGGGAUAUUUAAGCUCCUGAGAGACGCCUUCACUUCGCUGGAUGAUUAACUCAACUUGGAUAUCACCUAUCAGUUCACCUCGUUUGCUGCUACCAACCUGGUUUCUUCACUGUCCACUCGUCUCUCAGCGUCCUCCUCUGGUCUUCCCACUCCAGGCUGCCCACCCUCCCUCCUGGAUCACCAUUACCCUUCAUGCUCAGCUCCCUCCUCAUUUGGACUCCAAGCUCAUCUGCCUCCAGUAAGCCUCCUGCCCUCCCCAGACCGGUCACUCCUCCCUCUCUCACGAGGUCUCACCUCCAACCUGUAAGUUCCAUCAGAUCCAACAUUCAGAUUUCCGAGUGCCAGACCUAACUCUCCCUGUUCCUCCAGGAUUCUCCACACCCGAACCUCGCUUCUCUGCCGAAUACUGCUAGACUUCCUAGCAGCUCCUUCUGUUCUCCUUUUCUAAUAAAUUAUUGUUUGCGAUCUUC